CAACGGCCCGAAGGGCGAAGCGCGCAGCGCUGAGUCAUCCUUCCCCCACCACCA
rnacentral:sRNA from 1 species